rnacentral:rRNA from 1 species
CCUACGGGGAGCAGCAGUAGGGAAUCUUUCACAAUGGGCGAAAGCCUGAUGGAGCAACGCCGCGUGCAGGAUGAAGGCCUUCGGGUUGUAAACUGCUUUUAUAAGCGAGAAAUAUGAUGGUAACUUAUGAAUAAGGAUCGGCUAACUACGUGCCAGCAGCCGCGGUCAUACGUAGGAUCCGAGCAUUAUCCGGAGUGACUGGGUGUAAAGAGUUGCGUAGGUGGCAUAAUAAGUAGCUAGUGAAAUCUGGUGGCUCAACCAUUCAGACUAUUAGCUAAACUGGUAAGCUCGAGACCGUUAGGGGUAACUGGAAUUUCUAGUGUAGGAGUGAAAUCCGUAGAUAUUAGAAGGAACACCAAUAGCGUAGGCAGGUUGCUGGGACGGUUCUGACACUAAGGCACGAAAGCGUAGGGAGCAAACGGGAUUAGAUACCCCAGUAGUC